UGAAGGACAAACUGCUUUUUAAUUUACACCAAGCAGAAUAAAGCAAACCAAGACAUACACAAAAUCAAAGCAAGUAUAAAAACCGCAUGCAGCGAAUUACCAAAUGACAUUUUUAAAAGACAACAGUAUCAAAUAACACACAAACAAAACUCUUUAAACAUUUGCAAACACACAAGAAAAUGAGACACACAAAUACUGCAUAAUAAAAUCUGAUACACAGAGAACGCCGCCUCAUUCAGGAAAAACACACACUCACUAAUCUGACAUGCUCUAUUCAAAAACAUAAAUAAACCAGUUUUCUGUUGACACGCGUGAUAUGUUGAAUUGUGAUGUUAGCGAAUUACAACCCAACCAAAUGUUACAUAACAGAAAACACUGUAACAUUCUUGCAAGUCUAUAGUAUAAUAUAGUAUACAAAAUAUAUCAUGACAACAAUAUAGAAUUUGUGCGGUAUUCACAUUACAAAUUGAAUAUAGGCAACAGUGUAAGAAGGUAAAAUGUUGUAAUGUCUGGAUAAUGGAAGACUUUUCAAACUAAACCGUGAUUUUAAACCUACAAGGAAGACCGAUAUUGUUUGAGGGAAAAAAAAUUAUUUGUUGAUAUAUUUUUUACAUAAAAAUAUAAGUUCAGCACUUUCAACAGUUAACUUAAUAUAGUUUGACAUUCAAGGCAAUAUUUAGUGUCUAGAAUAAUUCAAGCAGCAUUUUAUAAGUUUGCUCAACACUGCGUGACACCAUUCAAGUACAUAUAAAGCAGCUCUUCAUGUGAAAUCUCUGUUGCUCAAACAUGACCGAGUAAAGUAGAGAAGUUGUAAAGCUGCUAACUGCUUUAAUUUAUAACAGCUACCAUCCUUGCCCGAAGAUGACCGUACUGAAGAUGUCUAACUAAAUAUUAAACACAAAAUAUCGCACAAUAUUUGAACUACAGUUGAGCUAUACUGAAGAAAAGGCCACCAAUAAUAAUAUGAAUAUAGUUUGGUCUCUAAUAGAAAAAGUAUUGGUUAAAAGCAGAUCGUUAACUCAGCUUCAUGUACUUCCAAAUACAUCAUUUAUUUGUUCAUCUUCAUAACAAAAAUGACAUUUUUGUAAUUGAAUCUAAGAUUCCAAUCUUAGUCUGUCGUUUACUUAAAAUUGUAGUGAAAACGGGGAAAUGUUCUACUUCAAUGUUUAAAAUCAAACUGACAUAUCACUUAUGAUUAUUCUGUGAGUUUUAAAAAUGGUGAUUUUUUAUUUAAAGGCACAGUAUGUAAUUUUCACCACUAGAGGGAGCUUAACACAACAAACAAAAGCAUAUUUUGAUGAUGUCGUGACUUAAGGCUGAUUUAUACUUCUGCGUCAAGCGCACGGGUAUGCAUCUGCACAGCCUUUGCUAGAUCGUAUAGCCCUGCUAAUGCCGCGGCUGAUGCGCACCUCUCAAACAAUAACUACACACACAGCGACGCAUAACGCAAGAUCUGUGAUUGGUCAGCUUGAUACCGGUAACAAGCGUGGGCGGCGUUGAGAGCCGAGUCCUGGGAAGGAGCUCCAGAUGGAAAUUUUUGUUUUGUGUUUACCUUUAUGAUAAAGUUGUUGCACAUCCACUGGUUCCCACCUCUAAAUGAGUGAGUUUUAGCUACUUGUAGCAUUCAGAAAAACAAAAUACCCACAAAGAAACUCGACAGAGGAACAUAAAAACCAACUGCCAGCAAGCAUUUUGGAAGCGUUAUUGCAGAGCAGCCCGAACAGCAUUCACAACUAUAAAUGUAUGUCUACGCGCAAAGCAGGCGCCGUGGGUCACGCAGAUCAUUUGGUGCAGAAGUAUAAAUCAGCCUUUGAUGUGGAAUCAUGAGAGUUGUGGUCUUUGUUGCAUUGUACAGGACUUCAGCUGAAUCAUUUUCACUGAUGAGCUAAAGUACAUUCAGUGUUAGGUAUGUUACUUAAAAAAGUAAUUAGUUACUUCAAAAAGGUAGUUAGUUACUUCUUACAAAUAGUAACUGGGUUAGUAGCUGAAUUAUAUC